UGGUAUUCCGGGAGGCAUGCCUGUUCGAGCGUCAUCAAACACAUCCUCAAGCAUUUUUGCUUGGUCCUGGAGGAAGAUGGUCUCUCGACUAUCCCCUCUGGAAUUCCUCAGCAGAGACCACAGCAGCCUCAGGUGUGAUAAUUCUACCUCGCUUGAGUGUUACCGUGGGCUCCCGCUGGAGAACAGCCCCCCAGCUUUUACCAUGUUUGACCUCGGAUCAGGUAGGGAUACCCGCUGAACUUAAGCAUAUCAAUAAGCGGAGGAAAAGAAACCAACAGGGAUUGCCUUAGUAACUGCGAGUGAAGCGGCAAAAGCUCAAAUUUGAAAUCUGGUACCAUUCGGUGCUCGAGUUGUAAUUUGGAGAGGCAACUUCGGAGAGGGCGUUGGCCUAAGUUCCUUGGAACAGGACGUCAUAGAGGGUGAGAAUCCCGUGCUUGGCUGACUGUCCCUCUUCAUGUGAAGUGUCUUCGACGAGUCGAGUUGUUUGGGAAUGCAGCUCAAAAUGGGUGGUAAACUCCAUCUAAGGYUAAAUAUUGGCGAGAGACCGAUAGCGCACAAGUAGAGUGAUCGAAAGAUGAAAAGCACUUUGAAAAGAGAGUUAAAAAGUACGUGAAAUUGUUGAAAGGGAAGCGCUUGAGACCAGA
rnacentral:rRNA from 1 species